AGGUGACCAGACGAUCGCGGGCCCCCUGUGGGCAUGAGGAAAGUCCGAGCACCGCAGGGCAGGGUGCCGGCUAACGGCCGGUGGAGGCGACUCCAAGGAGAGUGCAACAGAAAGAAACCGCAGCGCGCGCUGCGUGCUGUAAGGAUGGAAAGGCGAGGUAAGAGCUCACCCACGGCCUGGCGACUUGUCCGUGCUGUAAACCCCACCCGGUGCAAGAUGGUAUGAGGACACAUGCGGCUGCCCGUCGCGUCCUCGCAAUCGCUUGAGCCUGCGCGGCAACGCCAGGCCUGGAUAGAUGAUCGUCCACGACAGAACUCGGCUUACGGUCACGCUCG
rnacentral:RNase_P_RNA from 1 species